AUUCUUGUCUACGGCCAUGCCAUCCUGAACAAGCCUGAUCCCAUCUGAUACUCGGAAGCUAAGCAGGGUCGGGCCUGGUUAGUACUGGAUGAG
rnacentral:miRNA from 1 species